GGGCAAGUGGCGGAACGGUAUACGCGUUGGUCUCAAAAACCAAUGGGAGUUGAUCCUGUGAGGGUUCGAAUCCCUCCUUGCCCACCA
rnacentral:tRNA from 1 species